UACGAAGGGGGCUAGCGUUGUUCGGAAUUACUGGGCGUAAAGCGCGCGCAGGCGGCUCUUCAAGUCAGGGGUGAAAGCCCAGAGCUCAACUCUGGAACUGCCUUUGAGACUGAAGAGCUUGAGUACGGGAGGGGUGAGUGGAAUUCCCAGUGUAGAGGUGAAAUUCGUAGAUAUGGGGAGGAACACCGGUGGCGAAGGCGGCGAUCUGGCCCAACAUUGACACUGAGACCCGAAAGCGUGGGGAUCAAACAGG
rnacentral:rRNA from 1 species